rnacentral:rRNA from 1 species
UUNNGGNUGAUNNNGNNGGAGNGGACCCCUUUAAAGGUUNGANUAAGNNAUGGGAGUNGAAUGGNGNAAGGGAUGGNGUANUGGUNAGUAANANGUGGAAAAUCUAUAAUUAGGAAUGGGAUAAUNUAGGGAAAUUGGGAAUAAUCCCCGAUAGUCCUCGAAGGCUGGAAUGCAUCGAGGGCGAAAGCUCCGGCGCCUAAGGAUGGGUCUGCGGCCUAUCAGGUAGUAGUGGGUGUAGCGUACCUACUAGCCUACGACGGGUACGGGUUGUGAGAGCAAGAGCCCGGAGAUGGAUUCUGAGACACGAAUCCAGGCCCUACGGGGUGCAGCAGGCGCGAAAACUUUACAAUGCUGGCAACAGCGAUAAGGGAACCUCGAGUGCCAGGUUACAAAUCUGGCUGUCGAGAUGCCUAAAAAGCAUUUCAUAGCAAGGGCCGGGCAAGACCGGUGCCAGCCGCCGCGGUAACACCGGCGGCUCGAGUGGUAACCGUUAUUAUUGGGUCUAAAGGGUCUGUAGCCG